rnacentral:rRNA from 1 species
CAGUAGCCGCGGUAAUGCGAAGGGGGCUAGCGUUGUUCGGAAUUACUGGGCGUAAAGGGCGCGUAGGCGGCCAUUCAAGUUAGAUGUGAAAGCCCUGGGCUCAACCUAGGAAUUGCAUUUGAUACUGUUUGGCUUGAGUUCGGGAGAGGUGAGUGGAAUCCCCAGUGUAGAGGUGAAAUUCGUAGAUAUUGGGAAGAACACCAGUGGCGAAGGCGGCUCACUGGACCGACACUGACGCUGAGGCGCGAAAGCGUGGGGAGCAAACAGGAUUAGAUACCCCAGUAGUCCCUGUCUCUUAUAC